GACUAGUCUGAAGGUAGUGAGUUAUCUCCUUUGUUGGUUCACAGUCAAAGAUUGAAAUCCUUGGUCUACUUUUCCCCACUUCUCACUACUGCACUUGACUAGUCUUAA
ensembl:misc_RNA Y_RNA Y RNA